GAUUAACGCUGGCGGCAUGCCUAAUACAUGCAAAUCGAACGAAGCCUUUUAGGCUUAGUGGUGAACGGGUGAGUAACACGUAUCCAAUCUACCCUUAAGUUGGGGAUAACUAGUCGAAAGAUUAGCUAAUACCGAAUAAUAACAUCAAUAUCGCAUGAGAAGAUGUAGAAAGUCGCUCUUUGUGGCGACGCUUUUGGAUGAGGGUGCGACGUAUCAGAUAGUUGGUGAGGUAAUGGCUCACCAAGUCAAUGACGCGUAGCUGUACUGAGAGGUAGAACAGCCACAAUGGGACUGAGACACGGCCCAUACUCCUACGGGAGGCAGCAGUAGGGAAUUUUUCACAAUGGGCGCAAGCCUUAUGAAGCAAUGCCGCGUGAACGAUGAAGGUCUUAUAGAUUGUAAAGUUCUUUUAUAUGGGAAGAAACGCUAAGAUAGGAAAUGAUUUUAGUUUGACUGUACCAUUUGAAUAAGUAUCGGCUAACUAUGUGCCAGCCGCCGCCGUAACAC
rnacentral:rRNA from 1 species